rnacentral:misc_RNA from 1 species
AACGCAAAUUGCGCUCAAGGCCUCGGCCUAGAGCAUGUCUGCCUCAGCGUCGGCUUUUCAUCCUCGCACUCAAUUAUUGUUGUGCGGAACUGGUAGUCUCACUCUCCGAGUGGGUCUGUCGAAACGAAGAGGCUGAAUCUGUCCUUCUAAGACAACAACUUGGUAGGUGGUUUAUACCGCACGCCGUUGUUGUUGGGGGCAUUGACGGCCGAUUGGAAAUCUCCUCUUUUGAGCGUGAUUUCACCCCUAAAUAUUCGACCUGAGAUCAGGCAAGAUUACCCGCUGAACUUAA